GUUCCACCCCGACCACUCUUUCUACAUCACUCUCUCCUCCUGUUCUCUCUGUGUUGUCAUGUGUUGGAUCAGUCUGUGUUGUGGUUCUACUGGUGUUACUGGUUCUGCUGGUGAGACGAUGUGUUCAAAGGAAACCUGAAGAUCAAGAAAAAGGUAGAUGUGACAAUAGUGUCAUUGAAGAUGACAUCAUGUACAGUGACAUCAGAAUAUCACAUCAUCAUCAACAAGAGCGAAGCAGUCGAAUCAGAGACAGUGAUCCAGCUGCAGUCUACUCAGCAGUGAGAACUGAAGAUGUCACAUAUGGACAAAUCAUCAUCAAAGACAAGAAGAAAAAAUCUAAGAUGAGAGACUUUAAACCAGAGCCAGACGUCGUCUACUCUUCACUGAAGUAGUCCACCAGUCCAACCACUGACGCCCAGCUGCUGGUCUCUAACUGGUCCCCCCAGCACCUCAGAACAGAGGACAUCCACAUGUUACAGAUUUUUAUAUGUUUUAUGUCUUUUUAUCCCUGAAUUAGACUCUGAUGACCCAGAACUACUUACUGGGAGUCAGUUCAUUGACUUGAUGUUUGUUGGCUUUUGUUCCCACAGCAGUGCGCAAUUUCUCUGCAGGAUUAAUAAACUUUUGCUCUCAUGUUUUCCUCCUGUGGUUCUGUGGGUUUCAAAAAGGCAUCUGAUGGAAAAUUUGAAUUGUUCCGGUUUGGUUGUGGCUAAACGACACACACCUCUCUUCACUGACGAAAACAAAGAAUAAAGACUAAACCACAACCUCAACCUAAAAACAGCCGGAGCAUCAUUUAAUGCCUUUAAAACACACAGAGAAGCUCCAGUGCAGG